rnacentral:rRNA from 1 species
GACGAACGCUGGCGGCGUGCUUAACACAUGCAAGUCGAACGAAAAUACCAAGCUUGCUUGGUUGAUUAGUGGCGAACGGGUGAGUAACACGUGAGUAACCUGCCCCUUACUUUCCUGGAUAACUGCUCGAAAGGGUAGCUAAUACGGGAUAUUCUGACCAGCCUGCAUGGGUUGGUUUGGAAAGGUUGUUUUUCUGGUAAGGGAUGGGCUCGCGGCCUAUCAGCUUGUUGGUGGGGUGAUGGCCUACCAAGGCUUUGACGGGUAGCCGGCCUGAGAGGGUGGACGGUCACACUGGGACUGAGAUACGGCCCAGGCUCCUACGGGAGGCAGCAGUGGGGAAUAUUGCACAAUGGGCGCAAGCCUGAUGCAGCGACGCCGCGUGAGGGAUGAAGGCCUUCGGGUUGUAAACCUCUUUCGUCAGGGAACAAGGCACUGCUUUUGUGGUGGUGUUGAGGGUACCUGGAUAAGAAGCGCCGGCUAACUACGUG